rnacentral:rRNA from 1 species
UACAGAGGAUGCAAGCGUUAUCCGGAAUGAUUGGGCGUAAAGCGUGUGUAGGCGGCUUUUCAAGUCCGCCGUGAAAUCCCAGGGCUCAACCCUGGACAGGCGGUGGAAACUGCCAAGCUGGAGUACGGGAGGGGCAGAGGGAAUUUCCGGUGGAGCGGUGAAAUGCGUAGAGAUCGGAAAGAACACCAACGGCGAAAGCACUCUGCUGGGCCGACACUGACACUGAGAGACGAAAGCUAGGGGAGCGAAUGGG